AGAGUUUGAUCAUGGCUCAGGAUGAACGCUAGCUACAGGCUUAACACAUGCAAGUCGAGGGGCAGCAUGAACUUAGCUUGCUAAGUUUGAUGGCGACCGGCGCACGGGUGAGUAACACGUAUCCAACCUGCCGAUGACUCGGGGAUAGCCUUUCGAAAGAAAGAUUAAUACCCGAUGGCAUAAUUCUUCCGCAUGGUAGAAUUAUUAAAGAAUUUCGGUCAUCGAUGGGGAUGCGUUCCAUUAGGUUGUUGGCGGGGUAACGCCACAAGCCUUCGAUGGAUAGGGGUUCUGAGAGGAAGGUCCCCCANAUUGGAACUGAGACACGGUCCAAACUCCGUACGGGAGCA
rnacentral:rRNA from 1 species